rnacentral:rRNA from 1 species
UGACCUCGGAUCAGGUAGGACUACCCGCUGACU